AAGACUAUACUUUCAGGGAUCAUUUCUAUAGUCCGUUACUAGAGAAGUUUCUCUGAUCGUGUAGAGCACCCGAAACCACGAGGAGGAGGCGCAGCGUUCUUUCCUGAGCGUGAAGCUGGCUCUUGAUGUUGCUUCUGCAACUGUCAUUGGCCAUUGAUGAUCGUUCUUUUUUUCCUUCGGGAAGAAAGAGGGAAAGGACGCAGUCUGAGUGGU